rnacentral:rRNA from 1 species
GGGUUGUGAGGUUAAGCGACUAAGCGUACACGGUGGAUGCCCUGGCAGUCAGAGGCGAUGAAGGGCGUGCUAAUCUGCGAUAAGCGCCGGUAAGGUGAUAUGAACCGUUAUAACCGGCGAUACCCGAAUGGGGAAACCCAGUGUGAUUCGUCACACUAUCAUUAACUGAAUCCAUAGGUUAAUGAGGCGAACCGGGGGAACUGAAACAUCUAAGUACCCCGAGGAAAAGAAAUCAACCGAGAUUCCCCCAGUAGCGGCGAGCGAACGGGGAGGAGCCCAGAGCCUGAAUCAGCAUGUGUGUUAGUGGAAGCGUCUGGAAAGGCGCGCGAUACAGGGUGACAGCCCCGUACACAAAAGCGCAUGUGCUGUGAGCUCGAUGAGUAGGGCGGGACACGUGGUAUCCUGUCUGAAUAUGGGGGGACCAUCCUCCAAGGCUAAAUACUCCUGACUGACCGAUAGUGAACCAGUACCGUGAGGGAAAGGCGAAAAGAACCCCGGCGAGGGGAGUGAAAAAGAACCUGAAACCGUGUACGUACAAGCAGUGGGAGCACCCUUUGGGUGUGACUGCGUACCUUUUGUAUAAUGGGUCAGCGACUUAUAUUCUGUAGCAAGGUUAACCGAAUAGGGGAGCCGGAGGGAAACCGAGUCUUAACCGGGCGUUAAGUUGCAGGGUAUAGACCCGAAACCCGGUGAUCUAGCCAUGGGCAGGUUGAAGGUUGGGUAACACUAACUGGAGGACCGAACCGACUAAUGUUGAAAAAUUAGCGGAUGACCUGUGGCUGGGGGUGAAAGGCCAAUCAAACCGGGAGAUAGCUGGUUCUCCCCGAAAGCUAUUUAGGUAGCGCCUCGUGAAUUCAUCUCCGGGGGUAGAGCACUGUUUCGGCUAGGGGGCCAUCCCGGCUUACCAACCCGAUGCAAACUGCGAAUACCGGAGAAUGUUAUCACGGGAGACACACGGCGGGUGCUAACGUCCGUCGUGAAGAGGGAAACAACCCAGACCGCCAGCUAAGGUCCCAAAGUCAUGGUUAAGUGGGAAACGAUGUGGGAAGGCCCAGACAGCCAGGAUGUUGGCUUAGAAGCAGCCAUCAUUUAAAGAAAGCGUAAUAGCUCACUGGUCGAGUCGGCCUGCGCGGAAGAUGUAACGGGGCUAAACCAUGCACCGAAGCUGCGGCAGCGACACUGUGUGUUGUUGGGUAGGGGAGCGUUCUGUAAGCCUGUGAAGGUGUGUCGUGAGGCAUGCUGGAGGUAUCAGAAGUGCGAAUGCUGACAUAAGUAACGAUAAAGCGGGUGAAAAGCCCGCUCGCCGGAAGACCAAGGGUUCCUGUCCAACGUUAAUCGGGGCAGGGUGAGUCGACCCCUAAGGCGAGGCCGAAAGGCGUAGUCGAUGGGAAACGGGUUAAUAUUCCCGUACUUGGUGUUACUGCGAAGGGGGGACGGAGAAGGCUAUGUUGGCCGGGCGACGGUUGUCCCGGUUUAAGCGUGUAGGUGUGUGUUCCAGGUAAAUCCGGU